UUUGAUCUGAUGAGCUAAGCUGGAGUUCCCAUUCACCUGGCUCCAGGCUCAUCAGAUGAAAGU
rnacentral:pre_miRNA from 1 species